rnacentral:lncRNA from 1 species
CAGGAAGGGUCCUUUUUCCCCUUGCUCCUCCAGCAGCAUAAUGUGAUCCACCAGCAAGAAGGGAUGCCAAUAAGGCGUCCGAUAAGAUAAGUCUUAUAAAAUAUAUAGAUUUAUGAUAAUUAAAACUGAGCUAGCAGAUGAGAAUCCUAGUCAUUGGCCAAGCAGCUUUGAACUUAAAACAAGUUUCUACGAUGACAGCAAGGCGUAAGUCCGUGUAGCAUAUUCCAGUUGGUGUUCUGAAGAGUACUUCUGUGAUAUCAUUCGCUUCACAAGAAGAAUUCAAAUCUUUUCCUGUGGAAGUGCUGAACUCAUUAUCCUAAUGAGCAAAUGUCAUGAAGCUGGGAAAGUCACAGGAAAAUGAAAGUAGCCAUGUGCCAUGAUCUGGGAAACUUUCUUUGAACUCUUAAAUACAGUUUAGUAUAAAGUACAUCUCAUUUGAAGUAUAUCAAAACCAGGAAAUGCAAAUUGUCAGAGCUGAAGCAGAUCUUUAUAUAGCAGGGAAAGAAGUUUAAAUAAAAAGUGUUGCAAUGAUCUUUAUGUUUAAAAGAUUUUGAAGUAUAUUAAAAUAUAAAUCCCAGAAUUAAAUGAUAGACUAAAUGGGGGAAUUAUAGAAACAUUUAUUUUAAUAGCAAAUGAUUAAUAUUUGUGUAUAUAGAAGAUAGUUUUUCUGUUGGUUUGUUUUUGUUGUUGUUAGAUUUUAAUAUGAUCUGCAAGAUGAUGUGCAAUGUUCCUCAUUGAACUGGGGCAUGAGAACUGCACUGUUCUGUUCUGUUCAGUUCAGUAUUUUCUUAAAGCACAAUUUAUUGCCAACUUCUUAGUUUCAGGGAGAUUGCCAGGCACUGAAUAUAUAAAACAAAUCAGAUAAGGCACUUGACCUUGUGAAACUCACAAUGUAGUAGAGAUGUGAACUUAAAAUUAUCAUUAUACUAGACUAUAGUUCCAGAAGCAAACACAACACAGCAGACCAAAAGCAGACAAGGGGUCUAAAGAGGGAAAAGAAUUAACAUAGACAAGCAAUGGAUGUUGCUCUCAUCCCAGGUAGAGAAGCCAGAGAUGUAGGGCAAUUAUGGUCAUGAGUUUAGUCCCUUCUAUUGUUGAGUUUCCAUCAACACUCAGUAGUUGCAAAUGUAGUAGAGAAAGUUGGUAGCAUUGAUUAAAGGAGCCAAGGAAACCAUAGAAAUUACUACAGUGCUAUACAAGGAGUAGUUCAGAUGUUCAACAUGGGAACAGAUGGGGAAGGAAAUAAGUCAGACUAAAUAAAACAGAUUAAGAAGGUAUCCGUGAUGUUUGAAGGUGUUAAUGGCAUAGGAAAGGAACUGUGCAGAUAGGGAUUGCCAAUUAGAAAGUCAGAUACAUUCCAAGGUUCAAGGUGAUGGUAAUGUAAGCUUGAUUUGAAAAUUUCAAGGCACUUAGGUCAUCCAGACUUCUUGACUUUCAUCUAAAUUGGUUAGAUCCUUUGUGAUGUAAAUUUCUGGUUCAAAGGCCUUGUUAUCUAGAAUUCUUGAUUGAAUAGCUUUUCUGCUUCAUUGCCAACAGAGGAAAAUAAGGAACAAUAUAUGUAAAACACUAUUUUCUAAUCUGUUGUCUAGCUUCAUGAGAUUUCAGUGGUACCUGCUCUCCAUUAGUUGCAUAAAAGAGAGGACAUUGAUAAGUAAGUUUUAAGAAAGACCAAGUUUAACAGCAUUUGUAGGCAUCUAUAUUUGUGAAUUUUAAGAUGCCCAAGACAGGAUAAAUGUUAGUGCACAUUGUUCUGCAAAACUUGUUCUAUUUAUUUGAGAGUUAGUAAAACAUUCUGAACUGUUUUAAUGAAAAGAUACCUUUUGAUAUGAAUGCUGACUGCUAGCAUCUAUUAGUUUGUAUCUCACUAAGGUCCUGUGUUGAAUCCCCCAAGGUCAUUGUGCUUGCUAAAGCAUUUGGGGUGGUCAUUAAGUAAUAAAGAUAAAUUUCUUGUGGAUGGGAUUAUUGGAGCACCAAAAUGGCCCAGUGGGUAAAGGUGUUCUUUCCACCUGAUGAUUCAUGAAAACAUAAUGGUCUGAUUUCUCUCCCCAAAAGCCACAUCAACAUGGAAAGGGAGCACUAGUUCCACAUAGUUGUCCUCUGAUAAACACAUGCAUCCCAACAUGAAUGACACAUACCUCCAUAACCAAUAAGAAUAAAUGCAUUUUAAAAAUAAUAAGGAAUAAUGUAUUUUUGAAAGAGGGGACAUUAAAUUUUUGUGCCCCUUCUACAAAGUCAGGCACAGGAAAGUGCCACCCAUGAUCAGGAAACCCUCACCAAUCAUGAAAUUUAGCAGCACUUUGAUUUUGAAUUUCUCAGCAUUCAGAGUUGUCGGACAAAUUUUCUGGUAGGCAAAUGUUACUCAAUCUGUGGAAUUUCCAACAGAAAAUUCUACUUCAAUUAUCAAAACAAUCUCAUUAACAUCAUUACUAUUGCUCAUUUUUGUUCAUAUACUGACGUAAUUGAAUGUCAGUCAUGAGUUCUGCACUGAGUAAGGAAAUGUGAGUUGCUUUAGGUACCAGGUACUAGACAAUGAAGAAUGGAAAAGGCAUGGCAUGGGCAUGUACAACAUUUAUUAACAUGAUCACCCUGAGAAUACAAGCUUGUUUUGCCGUAAUCACUCCAAGUCCAUACAAAAUUUUUGACCCCAUAUAUUUCCUUUGAAUUGUUUUCAGCACUUUCACUAUUGCCAAAAUGAGUGAUAUUCAUUGCUAUUCUAAAUUUAUUCUUUUAAAUUGUGCUCAUGCUCUUCUGUUCCUGUCUUCUCAAGACACUGAGCAUAGUAGCCUCAUGGGGCAGGGAAAAUGGGGAUUUGGGAGAGAAUAUUAGGAGAGAUAAUUAAAACUUAAGGCCCAUUUGAGUGGCAGUAUGGAAACCUAAUACAACAGAAACUUCCUAAAAUAUAUACAUGUUUGAUUGUAAUCUAAAUGAAAUUAGCAAAUAAUGGGGGACAUAGGAAGUACAGUUUCCAUCCUCCCUCUCUUCAAAUGGAUUCUCAGAGCUUGACUUGAGGCUUGGUUGUGGAUCUCUGCAUCUGAUUCCAUCAAUUAUUGGAUGAAGACUCUAUGAGAAGGAAGAGGGAAUAUAUGAACAAGGGAUAUGUUUCACUACCUUUUGUACAGAAAGGUACUAUCGCUGCUUCCACAAGAGAAGAGUAAAUACAAAGCCAUUCACAAUUCCUUUAUCUACAAUGAUGUCCUACCUGCAAAGUAUGUGAGGGAAAUGGUGGCAAAAAUCUUGUGGAUGUAACCAACCAAUAUUUGACUUGACUUUAGGAACACUAGACAAAAUGGAAUCCAUACCUGACACUAACUGAGUGACCAAGAACCUGAAACAAGAUAGCCCAAGGGCCCAUGGUAAUACCGAAUAGUAGUGGUCCAAAAAAUGAGGAAGGGGGAAUAUAAUGAUAAAAUGACUCCUAAUGAUAUUCUGAAAUAUGCAUAGAUCAGUACCUUGUUCAACCAUCAUCACAGAAUAUCUACCACCUCAUAUGGGAACCGAUAUAUAGACAACCUCAACCAGAUAUUACACACAGUGCAAGACACUUAGGAACACUCAACCCUAAGAGGAAUGUAUCCAUCAAAUCCCUCCCUUCUAUGUCCACAAAGUCCCACAGAAGAGGAGACAUUAAGAAGUGUGAGAACAGAAAAGGAUGGAGGAUUCCAAGAAAACAAAACCCUCUAAAGCAACAUGAGAAAAGCUCAAAUGAACUCACAGAGACUGAAGCAACAUCCACAGGGGCGGCAUGGGGUCUGCAACACAUCCUGUGUGUUUUUAUUUGGGUUUCCAGUUUAGUGAUUUUACUGGAUUCCUGAGUGUGUGAACAAGUGCAUCUAUUAUCCUUGUGCCUUCUUUAGGGCUCUUUUCCUUCUAUUGAGUUAUCUUUUCCAACUUCAAUGAGGUAGAUUAUUUUUAAAUCUUCUUAUAUGUUAUAGUGCUGUAUUUAGAAAUGAAUGAAUAAAUGAAUGAAUGAACCAGUGAGUAAGUGAGUGAGUGAGUGAGUGAGUGAGUGAGUGGGUGAGUUACUGAACGAGUGAGUAAAAACCUAGCUAUUAGAGUAAAGGUUAAUGACAGAACUGUCAUUUAUACUUGAUGGGAGAGGGACACCAAUUUUCUCCAAUGGAGUGACAUUGAGUAUUUCAAUCACUCAUGUUCAGGAAUAGCUGUCUAAUAUAUAAUGAACCAAAUGGUGUAUUAUUUUGUGCUUUUAUUUGAUUACAGUUUGAUGUUAUUUUUGUUUUGUGGUGUUUUUAUUUUAUUUUCUUGGUUUGGGAGGAAUUUGCUAUUGUUUUUGUUAUUUAUUUAUUUAUUUAUUUAUUUAUUUAUUUAUUUAUUCUUGCCAAAAAACUUGAAGUUGGAUGGGUAGGGAGUGAGAGAGGAUCUGGCAGGACUUCGAGAAGGGAAAUAAUAAGAUCAAAGUAUAUUUAAAUUUCAAGAUUAUUUCAAAUAAUAGAAAAUGCAAUAAAAAGAAAAGAAUGCUAACUACUUGAACUAAAUCUACUCAGAUUCAUUUUUUAUAAGCUUUAGUUUUCAGUGUCCCAAUAGGUCUGCUGACUUCAUUUCUUCAACCUUUCCUGAUUGUCAAGUUCAGCAAUAACCCAUCUGCAAUUUCUUUCAUCCGGCAUGGUCUCCAAAGAGCACCAUCUACUCAGGGUCUCAUAUUCUGAAGCACACACUCUAAUUAUCUAGAUACAUUUGUCUUUGAAAUCACUUUCAAAGGUCUGCCCAAAAGUCAUUCUGUAUUUUUGAUAUUGUAUAUUCCUAAACUGUGUUUUGAAUGUUCUAAUUUUCUUAGUAACAAAAUCAAGACUUUGCUAUUUUUAAGUUAUGCUUUUAAAUGUCCCCUUUAAAAGCUUGAUUAAAAAUUAGGCUGUUAAUUGAGAUUCAUUAUUUCCUUAAAUUUAAUAAGCUCUAAUCUAAGAAUAUUUAAAAAAUGGUACUGCUUGUGCAACGAAGUAUUUGAAUAUUAAUUCUGCUACUAAAAUAUAUGUUUUGAUCACUGUUGUUGAAAAAAUCUAACAUACCAACGAAUCCCACUUUAGCAGAAUUUCAUAAAUGAUGAUUCAUAUUCCUUUAGCAAAAUCCUAUUUGCAAUAAUUCUUAUAUUUAAAAUAAAAUUUCUAUAAAUGUUAGGACAUAUGGGGGUUAAAGCAUCAGGUCACCUGUUAAGAAAAGUUUAUUGCUUUUGAUAGAACCCAGAUUUCUUUCCCAGCAUGCUUAUGGUGGCUCAUGGCUUCCGAUAACUUCAGUUUUAGGAGAUCUGAUGUCUUCUUCUAACCUCCAUGGGCACCAGGUACACACAUAGUUCACAUGAAUACAGGCAGGCAAAAUAAAUUUAUACACAAAAUAAUUUUAACUAAUCAACAAAACUCCUCAGCUCUACAAAUCUAUGUAUAUAUGAUUAUAAUACCAGACACUUCAUGUACUUCGAUUGUUAGAAUUCUUUUAGAAUGUGUGGAAUUAUUUAGCACCAGUAAACAAUAGUAAAAAAACAGUGAAAAAGGAAAUAUGGUCAUCCUUAGAGGGUAAGGUAAGAUUUAUUUUAUAAGUUCAUACCUAAUAAUUUUGACCUGUUAUUUUUCAUGCAGAAUGAAUGUUCAUUUUCCUUUUUCAUAUAUCUUGCUUAUAAUAGUUUUUGUUUUGUCACAUGUUUCUCAG